ensembl:piRNA 21ur-13898 ncRNA
UUUUACGAAAAGUUGUUAUUU